GGAGAGCAAGUUUCUGAAAUUCUUAGGGUUCAUGUGGAAUCCGCUGUCGUGGGUGAUGGAGGCGGCGGCCAUCAUGGCCAUCGCCCUCGCGAACGGAGGGGGGAAGCCCCCAGACUGGCAGGAUUUCGUGGGGAUUAUUACCCUGCUUCUGAUCAACUCGACGAUCAGCUUCGUCGAGGAGAACAAUGCUGGAUUUGCUUAGAUUUAUUGUAGAUUUUAUUGCAAGUUAUUUGAAAUCUUUUCUGUCCGGAUGUUGGAUGUUAAGUUGCUCUGAUAAUCAGAGGGACACUUUAAGAUUUAAAUGAAUGAAUAUUUUGUGCCCACACUCCCCUUUAAUUUCCUCUUAUUUUGAAUAUAGAGCCCACAUUUUUUUUUUGCUCAUAGCAAAGGAGUCUUGCACAUAAUUAAUUUUUGUUAUGUGAUUUCCAAGUUAAUAAAUCAAGAGGUUUGAUAUCAAAGCUUCAAACAUACAACUUGAAAAAAUAACGUAUUAGUCAUUCUUAUUCCUAAUUUUUUUAGAAAAAAUUACAUGGCCUGUAUAGGCUUCCAACUGGACUGCUUUUAAAAACUACAACUAAUACCGGCAAUAUGUUCUUUUUUUGAUUUUGAUCGUUAGUAUCUAGUUUGAUGUUUUUUCCCAGAUUAGGUACUUAUGCCAUUUAUUAGUUUCUCUUUGUGUAUUUGUUCAAUUCUAACUUUCAAAUUCAGAAAUUUUCUUUGAUAUCUAUUGGGCCUUUUCUUAACAUUCUAUUUAGUUGCUAAUGUACUUUGGUAACUCCUGAUGUAUGGUUUAAUAUGUUUAUUUCAGCCUUCCAAUGAUACUGCCCUCUUGUUUAUAAAAAUUCAUUCAAUUGUGUUGGAAUAUGUAUAUCAAGUUCUUUGUGACAGUGGUUUAGGAUGAUUUAAAUUCUGGAUUGCAGUUUUCUUAUGUUCCUUUCAGUGCAUGAUUAUUUAAAUAGCUUGGUUUUUUAUUAUAACGAUAUUGCAGUAAAAGCAAGAAGCGUGCAACAUCUCUUAGGACUUGCAAUAUCUGUGGAACUGAGAGAUGCCUCUUAAUAAUGUAAAGGCUUAUGACAGGCAACCCUUUAGCAACAAAUAUUCAGAGAGUAGUUUAGUCUGUUCAGCAUCAAAUUGUGUAGCCAAUUCUUUUACCAUUUUUUACCUUUUCCUCUUGUUAUGUACUUACUUUAGAAGAACAUUACUUGACAAAAUCCUGACUAAAUGCCUAAUGCAAUCUUAGAGAUGAUCAAUGGUACAAAAUAUGUUCUUCAAGUUUUGAUCUGGGGAGUUCUCACGAUACAAAGAAGUUUUGCGGCCAAUUUAUUGGCAAUAAGCUGGCAGCUUGGCAGUCAUUAUUAUUUAUUCAAUUGUGAAUGGUAUUCUAAGUCACUGAUUUGACCUUGUGUGCAUAUAUAAGGUGGUAAUUGUUGUGAAAUAAAUUUUUUUGAAACUUGUAUCUUAGGCUUUCUUUUUUUUCGCAAUGUAAUGAGGUCUGCCAUUGUGCCACCAGAUGUGAGCCAUCUGAUGCUGGGUGUUUUUUUUCCCACUUAGGAAAGCGGGUUGAGGGUCACAUGAACUCAGGUUUAUCUCUGGGGACUCCAGAAGCUGCCUUUGUACCUCCAAGACCCGAUUAUAGCCGGCCUUUUGCUUGCGUUCCUUACCCUUAUGCUGAUCCAAGCUUCGUUGGCAUGCUGGCUGCGUAUGGGUCACAUGCAAUUGUAUGUAUUAUUGAGCAUGUUCUUCCUUUCAGUUGUCUAAUUUUUUUUUUUAUAUUAGUUGCAGCUCAAUCAGUAUUUUAAUAGAAUGGACAAAAGUUGGAUAAAUAAGUCGAGAUUCAGUGCCGAACCAGUCUCAGCUUACGAAUAUUUCAUCUUUGUUACAGCGAUUUCUCCCUUCUCAGAUUCCUGAUACUUCAAAUGCUUGCAGAGAUGAUGAUGAUGGAGCUGAAUCCCGUCCCUCAUACUUUGUAGAUUGUUUUUUUUAUGGAGCUUGAUAUGUAUAUAUUUUUUAUAUUUUUAAAGUACAUUAUAAUUCAUAACUUUUUAUGUAAAUUUAAUCAGAUAUGACAAUAUAAAUGUUUCGAAUGAUCUGAAUGUUUGUGUCAA